rnacentral:rRNA from 1 species
AGAGUUUGAUCCUGGCUCAGGGUGAACGCUGGCGGUGCGCCUAAUGCAUGCAAGUCGAGCGAACCUGUGACUUCGGUCACACAUAGGUUAGCGGCGGACGGCUGAGUAACACGUGAGUAACUUGCCUUUUGGUGGGGUAUAGCCCAGAGAAAUCUGGAUUAAUCCCGCAUAAGAUCUUAGAACCCUGGUUCUUUGAUGAAAGCCUUCGGGCGCCGAAAGAGAGGCUCGCGGACUAUCAGGUAGUUGGUGGGGUAAUGGCCUACCAAGCCUAAGACGGUUAGCUGGUCUGAGAGGAUGAUCAGCCAGAGGGGGACUGAGACACGGCCCCCACUCCUACGGGAGGCAGCAGCAGGGAAUCUUGGGCAAUGGACGAAAGUCUGACCCAGCGACAUCGCGUGGAGGAUGACGGCCUUAGGGUUGUAAACUCCUUUUAUAAGAGAAGAGUAAGGACGGUACCUUAUGAAUAAGCCCCGGCUAACUACGUGCCAGCAGCCGCGGUAAUACGUAGGGGGCGAGCGUUACCCGGAAUCACUGGGCGUAAAGAGAGCGUAGGCGGUUUGGAAAGUCAUUUGUGAAAGCUCCUGGCUCAACUAGGAGAGGUCAAGUGAAACUUCCUGACUCGAGGACGGUAGAGGUAAGCGGAAUUCUUGGUGUAGCGGUGAAAUGCGUAGAUAUCAAGAAGAACACCAGAGGCGAAGGCGGCUUACUGGGCCGUUUCUGACGCUGAGGCUCGAGAGCGUGGGUAGCAAACAGGAUUAGAUACCCUGGUAGUCCACGCC